rnacentral:rRNA from 1 species
UACGAGUGGUGCAAGCGUUAUUCGGAAUGAUUGGGCGUAAAGGGUGCGCAGACGGCGCGCUAAGUCAACUGUUAAAUUUCCCGGCCUAACUGGGAGCAAGCGGUAGAUACUGGCGUGCUUGAGGGCGGAAGAGAGGAGUGGAAUUCUCGGAGUAGCGGUAAAAUGCGUAGAUCUCGAGAGGAACACCAAUGGCGAAGGCAGCUCCUUGGUCCUUCCCUGACGUUCAUGCACGAAAGCGUGGGGAG